rnacentral:rRNA from 1 species
UACGGAGGGUGCAAGCGUUAUCCGGAUUCACCGGGUUUAAAGGGUGCGUAGGUGGGCAAGUAAGUCAGUGGUGAAAUCUCCGGGCUUAACCCGGAAACUGCCAUUGAUACUAUUUGUCUUGAAUACUGUGGAGGUCAGCGGAAUAUGUCAUGUAGCGGUGAAAUGCUUAGAUAUGACAUAGAACACCAAUUGCGAAGGCAGCUGGCUACACAAAUAUUGACACUGAGGCACGAAAGCGUGGGGAUCAAACAGG